ACCUACCCCGAAGUGAGGGAUACCGGCGAGAAAUCGCCGACAAGCCCGCAUAGGCUCACUCUGGUGAAGCGGAGCGAGCAAAGGUUCACGCAAGUGAGCCGCUUUGGGAUGGGCCUGUGGCCGAUUAGCUAGUUGGUGGGGUAAAAGCCUACCAAGGCGACGAUCUGUAGCUGGUCUGAGAGGACGACCAGCCACACUGGGACUGAGACACGGCCCAG
rnacentral:rRNA from 1 species